UCCUUGGAGGACUAGUGGUUAGGCCACAGUGAUCUCAACGCCAUGGCCCUGGUUCGAUUCCUGGCCAGGGAA